rnacentral:rRNA from 1 species
CGUACCAGGUGCUGCAUGGCUGUCGUCAGCUCGUGUCGUGAGAUGUUGGGUUAAGUCCCGCAACGAGCGCAACCCUUGUCAUUAGUUGCUACAUUCAGUUGGGCACUCUAAUGAGACUGCCGGUGACAAACCGGAGGAAGGUGGGGAUGACGUCAAGUCCUCAUGGCCCUUAUAGGUGGGGCUACACACGUCAUACAAUGGCUGGUACAGAGGGUUGCCAACCCGCGAGGGGGAGCCAAUCCCAUAAAACCAGUCGUAGUCCGGAUCGCAGUCUGCAACUCGACUGCGUGAAGUCGGAAUCGCUAGUAAUCGCGGAUCAGAAUGUCGCGGUGAAUACGUUCCCGGGUCUUGUACACACCGCCCGUCACACCAUGGGAGCGGGUUCUGCCAGAAGUAGUUAGCCUAACCGCAAGGAGGGCGAUUACCACGGCAGGGUUCGUGACUGGGGUGAAGUCGUAACAAGGUACCAAUCACUAGUAUNUUCGCGGCAAA